CUCCUGGAAACAUGGCUUUCUUAGAGAGGGAGAUCCCCCUCUUUUGGACCCGCAUUACCAAAUGCUUCCUUGAUCCUCUGUCAAAAGACUCGAGUUUGUUUGGGAAUGCAGCUCAAAAAAGGGUGGUAAUUUCCAUCUAAAAGCUAAAUAUAGGGCGAGAGACCCGAUAGCGAAACAAGUUCCGUGAGGGGAAAGAUGAAAAGCACUUUGGAAAGAGAGUUAAACAGUACGUGAAAUUGCUGAAAGGGAAACGCUUGAAGUCAGUCACGUCUGCCAGGACUCAGCCUUGCUUCUGCUUGGUGCACUUUCUGGUUUGAUGGGCCAACAUCAAUUUCGACCGUUGGAGAAAGGCUUUGGGAAUGUGGCACCUUCGGGUGUGUUAUAGCCCUUUGUUGUAUACAANNAAUUGGGAUUGAGGACUGCAGCACGCCUUUAUGGCCGGGGUUCGCCCACGUACGUGCUUAGGAUGUU
rnacentral:rRNA from 1 species